rnacentral:rRNA from 1 species
GAUGAACGCUGGCGGCGUGCCUAAUACAUGCAAGUCGAACGGAGAUUGUAGCAAUACAUUCUUAGUGGCGAACGGGUGAGUAACGCGUUGGUGACCUGCCCCAAAGUGAGGGAUAACAGCCCGAAAGGGUUGCUAAUACCUCAUGUGGUCUUUGAGAUCAGAUGCUCUUAGACUAAAGGAUUUAUUCGCUUUGGGAGGGGCCUGCGUCCCAUCAGCUUGUUGGUGAGGUAAUGGCUUACCAAGGCUAUGACGGGUAGGGGACCUGAGAGGGUGACCCCCCACAAUGGAACUGAAAACACGGUCCAUACACCUACGGGUGGCAGCAGUAGGGAAUAUUGGUAAUGGGCGAAAGCCUGAACCAGCAACGCCGCGUGUGCGAAGAAGGCCUUCGGGUUGUAAAGCUACUUUUUAAGGGGAUGAGGAAGGACAGUACCCUUAGAAUAAGCCUCGGCUAACUACGUG